rnacentral:rRNA from 1 species
CCUACGGGAGGCAGCAGUGGGGAAUAUUGCACAAUGGGGGAAACCCUGAUGCAGCGACGCCGCGUGAAGGAAGAAGUAUUUCGGGAUGUAAACUUCUAUCAGCAGGGAAGAAAAUGACGGUACCUGACUAAGAAGCCCCGGCGAACGACGUGCCAGCAGCCGCGGUCAUACGUAGGGGGCAAGCGUUAUCCGGAUUGAUUGGGUUUAAAGGGUGCGUAGGCGGAAUGCCAAGUCAGCGGUAAAAUCGCGGGGCUCAACCUCGCUCCGCCGUUGAAACUGGCGUUCUUGAGGGGGCGAGACGUCUGCGCACUGCGUGUUGUAGCGGUUCCAUGCAUAGCUCUCACGCAGAACUCCGAUUGCGCAGGCAGCAUACCGGCGCCCACCUGCCGCUGCCGCACGAACGCGUGGGUCUCGAACAGGAUUAGCUACCCGAGUAGUC